UUCCGGCUUUGCUCAUACCAUUAAAAAUUUUCAUCCACAAAAAACAACCUAUAUUACAAAAAACGAAACAAGAUGAGCAACAUUUUUAAUGCUAAAGCAAAUGUUAAAAUUAUAAAAUUAUUAUCAUUGGACAAAUACUUUUUUAAACAUAGAGCAAGCUAAUUGAAAAUAAUAAAUAUAAAGAACAAAGAUUUUUUAUAAUGCUUAUAAAUAAGUUAAAAAACAAAUAAAAAAAGUAUUAAUUAACUGAAAAAUCCAAGUUUAUGAAAGGUAUUAAGAAUCCAGUGUAAGUUGAACAAUUAAAUAGGAAUUUAAAAUUAAACUAUUAUACCUUAAAGUGGAAACAGAUAGAUACUUGGUGUUUAUCAGAAUCUUAUCUCUACCCUCCACAGGUCAUAAACAAAUUAAAGAAAAAAAUAAAAUUAGAAGGAAAAAUAUAUACUACAAGGCAUAUUUAUUUCGAGCCCAUCGAAAUACUGAGAGCGACCACUUCACAAAAUUGUAUUCAUGUCCAUUAACUCACUGUUUUUUCUGAAAAAAAAAUUAUAAAAAAAAAAAAACAAAAAAAAAAACAUACAUAAACUGUUGAUUGUCCUGAAGUAAUUCAAAGAAUAGCCCUCGAUGUAUCAUAAAUUCACAUUAAACCACAAAAUCAAAAGAUUAUAAAGCUAAGAAUCUAUAUACCUCCAGGGGAAGGAGCCAUUGAUGUUGUUGAAAGCUUGUUCUUCAAAAGAGCUUUAAGAUGUGAUGGUGCUUCAAGAGAGCUCCCAAAGAGCCUAAACAACCUUUUUCUGCAUCCAAUGUUUUGAUCCCCUCUCAAACAACAGUACAAGAAAGAAUCCGACUCUACCUCGGUAUAUGCUACGGAUUUUUUCCAAGAAAGAAUGAAA
rnacentral:lncRNA from 1 species